UGGGGAAUAUUGCACAAUGGAGGGAACUCUGAUGCAGCGACGCCGCGUGAACGAAGAAGGCUUUCAAGUCGUAAAGUUCUUUUAUAUGGGAAGAGAAUGACGGUACCAUAAGAAAAAGCCCCGGCUAACUACGUGCCAGCAGCCGCGGUAAUACGUAGGGGGCUAGCGUUGUCCGGAAUCACUGGGCGUAAAGGGUUCGCAGGCGGAAAUGCAAGUCAGGUGUAAAAGGCAGUAGCUUAACUACUGUAAGCAUUUGAAACUGCAUAUCUUGAAAAGAGUAGAGGUAAGUGGAAUUUUUAGUGUAGCGGUAAAAUGCGUAGAUAUUAAAAAGAAUACCGGUGGCGAAGGCGACUUACUGGGCUCAUUCUGACGCUGAGGAACGAAAGCGUGGGUAGCAAACAGG
rnacentral:rRNA from 1 species